rnacentral:rRNA from 1 species
UACGAAGGGGGCUAGCGUUGUUCGGAAUUACUGGGCGUAAAGCGCACGUAGGCGGGUUUGUAAGUAGGGGGUGAAAUCCCAGAGCUCAACUCUGGAACUGCCUUCUAGACUGCAAGCCUGGAGGUCAGGAGAGGCGAGUGGAAUACCGAGUGUAGAGGUGAAAUUCGUAGAUAUUCGCAAGAACACCAGUGGCGAAGGCGGCUGACUGGUCCGGUCCUGACGCUGAGGCGCGAAAGCGUGGGGAGCAAACAGG